AACGAACGCUGGCGGCAGGCUUAACACAUGCAAGUCGAGCGCCCCGCAAGGGGAGCGGCAGACGGGUGAGUAACGCGUGGGAACGUACCCUUAUCUUCGGGCUAGCUCCGGGAAACUGGAAUUAAUACCGAAUGUGCCCUUUGGGGGAAAGAUUUAUCGGAUAAGGAUCGGCCCGCGUUGGUUUAGCUAGUUGGUGGGGUAAAGGCCUACCAAGGCGACGAUCCAUAGCUGGUCUGAGAGGAUGAUCAGCCACAUUGGGACUGAGACACGGCCCAAACUCCUACGGGAGGCAGCAGUGGGGAAUAUUGGACAAUGGGCGCAAGCCUGAUCCAGCCAUGCCGGGUGAGUGAUGAAGGCCUUAGGGUUGUAAAGCUCUUUCACCGGAGAAGAUAAUGACGGUAUCCGGAGAAGAAGCCCCGGCUAACUUCGUG
rnacentral:rRNA from 1 species